CGGGCGAGGUGCCGGUCUAAGUCCCUUGGAACGGGGCGUCAGAGAGGGUGAGAAUCCCGUACGCGACCGGCGGCCGAGCCCAUGUGAAACCCCUUCGACGAGUCGAGUUGUUUGGGAAUGCAGCUCAAAAUGGGUGGUAAAUUUCAUCUAAAGCUAAAUACCGGCCAGAGACCGAUAGCGCACAAGUAGAGUGAUCGAAAGAUGAAAAGCACUUUGGAAAGAGAGUCAAACAGUACGUGAAAUUGUUGAAAGGGAAGCGCUUGCAACCAGACCUGCCCGCGGGUGAUCAGCCGUCCUUCUGGGCGGUGCACUCGCCCGCGAACAGGCCAGCAUCGGUUCGGGCGGUCGGAUAAAGGCCUUGGGAACGUAGCUCCCCUCGGGGAGUGUUAUAGCCCUCGGUGCAAUGCGGCCCGCCCGGACCGAGGACCGCGCUUCGGCUAGGAUGCUGGCGUAAUGGUUGUAAGCGGCCCGUCUUGAAACACGGACCAAGGAGUCGACCAACUAUGCGAGUGUUUGGGCGUCAAACCCACACGCGCAAUGAAAGUGAACGGAGGUGGGAACCCCUCGCGGGGCGCACCAUCGACCGAUCCAGAUGUCUUCGGAUGGAUUUGAGUACGAGCAUAGCUGGUCGGACCCGAAAGAUGAUGAACUAUGCCUGAAUAGGGUGAAGCCAGAGGAAACUCUGGUGGAGGCUCGCAGCGGUUCUGACGUGCAAAUCGAUCGUCAAAUUUGGGCAUAGGGGCGAAAGACUAAUCGAAUCAUC
rnacentral:rRNA from 1 species